GUUUAAAUAACAAAACUAUCAAUCACAAAGCAUCAACAGCAACCAUCAUCAUGUUUGUCAUCUACUACAGUAGACAUUUAACUUUUGACCUACCUAUAUCACAAAACCAAAUUGUGUAUCUAAUCCAAUCUGAUCCGAUCCAACCAAGAAGAGGUGUUGUUUCAUUUUGCCCCCCACCCUUGAAGAGAGUAACGUUCCUUUUACUUUAUUGGAAGGUCUGUCGACACUUGAUUUCAUAUGGUCACAUGAGAUAAUCAAGACUCAAAACGAAUGACAAGAUACAACAGAAAAAGAGAA
rnacentral:misc_RNA from 1 species